rnacentral:rRNA from 1 species
UACGGAGGGGACUAGCGUUGUUCGGAAUUACUGGGCGUAAAGCGCACGUAGGCGGUUUGAAAAGUCAGAUGUGAAAGCCCCGGGCUCAACUUGGGAACUGCAUUUGAUACUGUCAGACUAGAGUACAGAAGAGGUGACUGGAAUUCCCAGUGUAGCGGUGAAAUGCGUAGAUAUUGGGAGGAACACCGGUGGCGAAGGCGGGUCUCUGGGCCGAUACUGACGCUGAGGAGCGAAAGCGUGGGGAGCGAACAGG